rnacentral:rRNA from 1 species
UGGGGAAUAUUGGACAAUGGGGGCAACCCUGAUCCAGCGACGCCGCGUGUGUGAAGAAGGCCUGCGGGUUGUAAAGCACUUUUAGUGGGGAUGAAAAGCUCAGGGUUAACACCUCUGGGUCUUGACCUAACCCACAGAAAAAGCACCGGCUAACUCUGUGCCAGCAGCCGCGGUAAUACAGAGGGUGCAAGCGUUAAUCGGAAUUACUGGGCGUAAAGCGUGCGUAGACGGUUAUGUAAGUCGGGUGUGAAAGCCCCGGGCUCAACCUGGGAAUUGCAUUCGAGACUGCAUAGCUAGGGUGCGGAAGAGGGAAGCGGAAUUUCCGGUGUAGCGGUGAAAUGCGUAGAUAUCGGAAGGAACACCAGUGGCGAAAGCGGCUUCCUGGUCCAGCUACCGACGUUCAGGCACGAAAGCGUGGGGAGCAAACAGGAUUAGAUACCCUGGUAGUCCACGCCAUAAACGAUGAGGACUAGACGUUGAGAGGGUAAGCCUCCCAGUCGUCGCAGCUAAC